UACGGGGGGAGCACGCGGUAUGCGGAAUCAUUGGGCGUAAAGGGCGCGUAGGCGGUCUUUUAAGUCAGAUGUGAAAGCCCUCGGCUUAACCGAGGAAGUGCAUUUGAUACUAAAAGACUUGAGUAUGGGAGAGGGAAGCGGAAUUCCUGGUGUAGCGGUGAAAUGCGUAGAUAUCAGGAGGAACACCGGUGGCGAAGGCGGCUUCCUGGACCAAUACUGACGCUGAGGCGCGAAGGCGUGGGGAGCAAACAGG
rnacentral:rRNA from 1 species